GUAAUUAAAAACCUUACUUAUUAUAAUAAAAAGAUGUGCAUAAAGUAAACCAGGGUGUUACAAUUUGAUUACAUUACAUGUUUUAGCUGAACCAAAAUAAAAAACAUAACGAACAGGCUUUUCCUUUCUGUUUUACAGGUAAACUGAAUGCUAAAUUAAGCCGAUAAAUAAGAGACUCGUCUGUCAUCAUUCAUUAACUAUGAAAAUAUGGAAUACACAAAAAUGCUCAUCACCAAUUCACCACCACUAUCACCAAUUACUACCACAAUAACUAAUAACUAACAUGUGCUUGUGAUCAAAACCAUAAACACAUCCAAC
rnacentral:lncRNA from 1 species